UGGUUUAAUUCGAAGCAACGCGAAGAACCUUACCAGGUCUUGACAUCCCGAUGCUAUUUCUAGAGAUAGAAAGUUACUUCGGUACAUCGGUGACAGGUGGUGCAUGGUUGUCGUCAGCUCGUGUCGUGAGAUGUUGGGUUAAGUCCCGCAACGAGCGCAACCCCUAUUGUUAGUUGCCAUCAUUCAGUUGGGCACUCUAGCGAGACUGCGGUAAUAAACCGGA
rnacentral:rRNA from 1 species